GUAAAUGCUACAGCUCUCUCAGUGUACCCCAUCAAUUUAUAGAAAAAAAAUACGCAUGCAGUAAAAACGCUCUUAGGAAUGUUAAAUACUCUACACACUGACUGAAGAAAUUUGAACGCGGCUGAUUUGCUCGGCAUCGUUGCCUCAGGCUCUCCGCCUUCUGGCUGGAAAAGCUUCAGUUCAGGCAGAGUUUCCUUCCGUCCAGUUCAGUUUUGAACCCUAAACAUGUAGCUGGGUUUCAGGGGCUGUUAGCCGUGUGCAUUACGCUAUGCUUUAUUUAGCAUUCAUUGCACGGUGCCAUGUUGGGGAACGUGUUACUGAAAAAAGUACCGUGGCUGGGAGGAAGUGGAGGACUAGGCAGGCUGGAACUGGAUGACCUCGCAUCAGCUCGAAAUGAAAGAAAGAAAUGACCUCGCCACGGCACCGCAGUUCUAAUAGGUGGCUGCUGUUCCAGAGCUUACAGCUGAGAAUGUGCACAGUGGAUCUCAGCCAGCACGGUCAGAGUCCAGUACCCACACUGCUGCCCCACACGGCAUCCACAUACUUAAAAGAUUCAGAUUGCAUCGCCCCCUUCCUCUCCCCCGGCCCUUCCCUGGGAGCUGAGCUGAUCCAUGGUCUAAUGCAGAGGCUCUCAGCCCUGAUCUCAGCUGGAAAAUCAGCAACCAGUUCAAGAAACCAUGUGAUUUGAGUUAAGUGUGCAAUCAGAUAUCCACUUUAAUUUCAUGUUAUUGUAUUUUAUUCAUCCUUGCACUGAAGGUUUAAAAACCCUUAUUUUUCCAGCUUGGGGUUGUGCAGAUAUCUUGCCAUGUACAGGGCUUGAAGUACGCUGCAAUGGACUAAUACAUUACUGGAACUUCCGAGUUUUUUCAUGAGCACUGCCACUUUUUUUUUUUUUUUUAGCUUUGCGCUACUUCUCCCUCUCCUCUUUGAUUGAGCUUUGAUGUUUCACUACAUAAUGUUCAGAGUGGUUAUGGCUGCCCUGGUGAUGGGAUUCAACACAGGACAUGGCUAUCUAGAAGAUUUAUGUCAUAAGUUAUACAUUUUGUGACUACAUUAUUGGAGACAGAUCAUUUUAUGGUGGAAUUUCUCAUGUGGCAGUCCUCUGAAGAGCCAGUGUUUCAGACCCUUGUCCAGAAUGCACAUCCCCUACCUGUGUGACCGGCUUAGUGCCAUUGACAGUUCAGCUCUGCAUCAGAUGGUGGAAACAUUUACUGUCAACCUUUUUUUCUUAGCAGAAAUUGGAGAAAAAGGACACAACAACACAACGGUCAGAGUGGUUUUAUGGUGUGCCAGAGUUUGACCUUGGCUUGUUUGCCAGAGCCAAACACAGAAGCUACUAGGACUCCAACCCCCCCUGCUGAAACCACCAUGGCCAGUUUUAAGAAAUUAUUUCGAUUAUUUAGAGUAGAUUGGCUGAUUUAAGAUCAGUUUAGCUUUUAGCUUAUAUUGGAUAAGGUUAGGAUAUGGACGAGGGAAAGCUGAUCCAAGUUCAGCACUCCUACUCCGAGAUACUUUAUGAAUGCAGGCCUACUCCAAGAGCAACACUCAAGAAUCUCAAAUCCUGUUGUGCUUGCACUCUUGCUCAUUAAUAUAGCCUCUUUGGGGCAGGACUAAAAACCUCAUCACCAUAUUUAUAGACCCGUAGGAACCUUUGGUAUACACACAGAGAGAAUUUGUUUGUUUGUUUAAAGAAACUAUCAUUCAUUCAGUUGCAUCACAUCAGUUUUUGCAAGCACAGCACAACAAAGCAAAGGAUAUAAAAUGGCCGACAGCAGAUGUGUUUAAAUGUAGUGCAGGCUGAAGAAAGAAUAUGAGCUAAAUGGAUGCUAAAGCUACUUGAGCUGAGCUGAGUAUAUCACCAUAUCUUUAAAACUGUGGUGCAUAAAAUUAAGCUGUGUUUGGUACAGGCAUUAGAUAACAUAUCACUCACCGCUAGAUCCUCUCCUCAAUCAGAGAUUACAAAUCCACAGCUCAGGAAAGGUCUGUGCCUAAACUGACAAACUUAAUCAUUGUAACAAUCUCUCAAAAACAUGAGAGAUUUGCACACAGUAAUGGUUAUAAUCAUAAACGUUUAUGCAAGAAAACAAGCAGCUUGUAUUAAACUGUUUCAUAGUUUUGGCACAUACACAGGAAAGGAUGUUUUACCACUUCAUGUAUAAUUCACCUUUUGGGGCAUAAGAGCUUUGCUUCAGCAGAUCUUAAGAGUUCUGAUUUGUUGAUAAUGAAUUAAAAGCUUGUAAAUGUAUUCAGGUGCUUUGUGCGCAGUAAAAAGAACUUUUAAAAUAUGUUUUAAAACUAGCCUAACAAAACUGGACUAGCAUAGGGCCUGUUUGGCUUCAAAUUCAAGUUCAAGCCUAACCUGCCUAUAGAUCACUGCCCACUGCAGGUGUGCGCAUAUCAAUGAGCUUGUUAAUGCACUCAUAAUUUUAAUCAACACUGAAGCGCACUGCCAGGAACUGACAGGAGGCUUUUAACAAAGUGGCCAGCAAAUCAUUCAUCCAAUGAUUUUACCUCACAUUUUAUUUUCAUAUUAAAAGGCUGAGUCUUAUUACGCUGUCAUUUAACAGAGGGAGAGUGGCUGUUGCUAAUCACCCCCUAUGAAAGACAGGCCAAAACAGCCAUUAAAUAUUAAAUGUAACUGCUUGUUUGUGCUUGUAAAUUAUUAAAUUGUAACUCCACUGCUUCCUACUAGAAUGAUAACCCUCACCCCACAUGCACACACGCACACACAGGCACACACGCACACGCACACACAGGCGCACGCGCGCACACACACACACGCACGCAUACACAUGGACAUACACCUUCCCCCAGGAGUUUACACAAAAUAUUGAUAUGGUGGUGUUGCAUCUAUUUCCUUCUCUAAAAUACUGGGGAUGUGUGAUAGCAGAUGAGAUGAAUCCUAAAUGAGCGUCUUGCUCAGUAAAUACCAGCCUUCGGGGGUGUGUGCUGGGUAGACGGUGGACCACCCUGUGGGGAAAAUGCUACAGAUGCACUACA